rnacentral:SRP_RNA from 1 species
GCCAGGCAUGGUGGUGCGUGCCUGUAGUCCCAGCUACUUGGGAGGCUGAGGCAGAAGAAUCGCUUGAACCCGGGAGUUGGAGGUUGCAGUGAGCUGAGAUUGUGCCACUGCACUCCAGCCCAGGUGACAGAGCGAGACUGUGUCUCAA